UACGUAGGGUGCGAGCGUUAAUCGGAAUUACUGGGCGUAAAGCGUGCGCAGGCGGUUUUGUAAGACAGGCGUGAAAUCCCCGGGCUCAACCUGGGAAUGGCGCUUGUGACUGCAAAGCUGGAGUGCGGCAGAGGGGGAUGGAAUUCCGCGUGUAGCAGUGAAAUGCGUAGAUAUGCGGAGGAACACCGAUGGCGAAGGCAAUCCCCUGGACCUGUACUGACGCUCAUGCACGAAAGCGUGGGGAGCAAACAGG
rnacentral:rRNA from 1 species